GGGGACGUGGCGGAAUUGGCAGACGCGCAUGACUUAGGAUCAUGUGCCGCAAGGCGUGCGGGUUCAACUCCCGCUGUCCCCACCA
rnacentral:tRNA from 2 species